CGGAAAAGCUAGAAUCGGGGAAGUAGUGCAUUGGAAAUAAACUGGAGAAGGAAAAGUGAAGUGUGAAGGUGACUUCCUAUUACUGCCUAUAUGUAGGGCCAUGACAUUUAUUGCGGAACUCGAAGUGGGCUCAUCGAUAACCGAAGAAUUUAUUGCUUUGACCGAUACAGGUCAGAUUGAGCAGGAGGUUGGAAAAAUAGUGAGAUCGGGAAAUUAAAAAGACUGGAUGCAAAAGAAGAUAGAGAUUGGAAUAAUAAUCUUAGGAUGAGUCAGUCACAACAAGAUCGGAAGAAACAGGGGACGACCUAUCGAGAUCGGAG
rnacentral:misc_RNA from 1 species